AUGGGGAGGGGAAAUAUUCAGUGUCUUAGGACUCAUUCCAUUUUCAUGUGGUUUGUUCUGCUGUCAGUGGUGUGGGAGGAAAUUCCUGUCGAAUAACUGAGGAGACACUGUGUGCGAAAGUACCACAGCUCAGGUUGAGCAAUACAACAGAAGGUUUUGAUAACCUGUCUUCUGAUGCCAAGAGAUGUGACGAGAACAAAAGGAGGAGGACCAUGAAUGAGCACUUAUUUAUGUUUUUGUACCCAAAAUGAUGAGCGCAUCAGAAGAAGAAAAAAAAUGUUGCUUUGAAUGGCAUUCUUGAAGUAUUGGAAAGGUAAUGAAGAGGAACAAGGUGACCAAACUGCCAGACAUGUUAAACCAGCACCAUUAUGCACUUGUUAAUUAUUAUUUUUUUUUAAAUCUCUAGUCUGGUUAGGCUGAGGCACCCUUAUGCUGCAGUCUGCAAUUCUUGCUGUCUCUGUAAAACACAGUCCCACACUCCAAAACCUGCAAGGUUCGUGG
rnacentral:lncRNA from 1 species